rnacentral:rRNA from 1 species
CCUACGGGGGGCAGCAGUGGGGAAUAUUGCGCAAUGGGCGAAAGCCUGACGCAGCGACGCCGCGUGAGGGAUGAAGGUCUUCGGAUCGUAAACCUCUGUCAGCAGGGAAGAACGGUCACUGUGCUAAUCAGCAGUGAAUUGACGGUACCUGCAAAGGAAGCACCGGCUAACUCCGUGCCAGCAGCCGCGGUAAUACGGAGGGUGCGAGCGUUAAUCGGAAUUACUGGGCGUAAAGCGCUCGUAGGCGGUAUGUCAAGUCAAGGGGGAAAUCCCCGCGCUCAACGUGGGAACUGCCUUUGAAACUGGCAAACUGGAGUGUGGUAGAGGAGAGUGGAAUUCCAGGUGUAGGGGUGAAAUGCGUAGAUAUCUGGAGGAACAUCAGUGGCGAAGGCGACUAUCUGGCACAUAACUGACGCUGAGGAGCGAAAGCGUGGGUAGCAAACAGGAUUAGAUACCCUGGUAGUC